rnacentral:lncRNA from 1 species
CUAUUUCUACAGAAGAAUGUUUUCUUAAUUCCUAACAACUAGUUCUUGACAAUCUUCAAACCAAAGUCAACCCUACCUUUUCUACCCAUAUUUUAAUAGUGGUGUUUCAGGCUCCAUAGGACCCUGGUGAGGAAGAAACUUCUUCCUCUGCCCUCAAACCCCACACACAACUGGAAUUUCUGCUCUCACUUCCUGUCCCUCCCCCUCAGCCAGGACACAGUUUUCUAAGAAAGUUCUGGAACAUCUCAGUCCAACACAGCUUUUUGAAUGUAUAUCUCCCUUAAUGGAACAAAUCAUCAUAAAGAGCAUCCCUGAAGUUUGUCAAAAUGAUGAAUGUCUCCCAGGUAUGGAGAUGGAGGCCUGGAGGGCAGUUGAGCAUUGUGGAGAUGCUGAGCCCAGGGAAUCCCAGCACUUUCCUAAACCUACACCAUCCGCAGUAGAAUUUGAAUUCGGAGCUUCUGACUCCUACACCAGGUCCUGCCCUCCUCACACAUUUCUUGGAAGAUGGAGGCUAUAUUUCCUCCAGGGUCCACUA